GCAAGUCGAGGGGUAUAGUAGCAAUACUAGAGACCGGCGCACGGGUGCGUAACGCGUAUGCAAUCUACCUUAUACAGAGGGAUAGCCCAGAGAAAUUUGGAUUAAUACCUCAUAGCAUAGCAACUUCGCAUGAAGUCACUAUUAAAGUUCCAACGGUAUAAGAUGAGCAUGCGUCCUAUUAGCUAGAUGGUAAGGUAACGGCUUACCAUGACUACGAUAGGUAGGGGUCCUGAGAGGGAGAUCCCCCACACUGGUACUGAGACACGGACCAGACUCCUACGGGAGGCAGCAGUGAGGAAUAUUGGACAAUGGGCGCAAGCCUGAUCCAGCCAUGCCGCGUGCAGGAAGACGCAUCUAUGGUGUGUAAACUGCUUUUGUACGGGAAGAAACACUCCCUCGUGAGGGAGCUUGACGGUACCGUAAGAAUAAGGAUCGGCUAACUCCGUGCCAGCAGCCGCGGUAAUACGGAGGAUCCAAGCGUUAUCCGGAAUCAUUGGGUUUAAAGGGUCCGUAGGCGGUUUGGUAAGUCAGUGGUGAAAGCCCAUCGCUUAACGAUGGAACGGCCAUUGAUACUGCCAGACUUGAAUUACUGGGAAGUAACUAGAAUAUGUAGUGUAGCGGUGAAAUGCUU
rnacentral:rRNA from 1 species